GACGAACGCUGGCGGCGUGCUUAGCACAUGCAAGUCGAACGGAAAGGCCCUGCUUUUGUGGGGUGCUCGAGUGGCGAACGGGUGAGUAACACGUGUGUAAACCGCCCUUGACUUUGGGAUAUCUCCAGGAAACUGGGGCUCAUACCGGAUAGGAGAUCCUGAUGCACGGUGGGGGUUGGAAAGUUUCGGCGGUUGGGGAUGGACUCGCGGCUUAUCAGCUUGUUGGUCGGGUAGUGGAUUACCAAGGCUUGGAAGGGUAGCCGGCCUGAGAGGGUGACCGGCCACAGUGGGACAGGGAUACGGCCCAGAGGGCUACGGGAGGCAGGAGUGAAGAAUAGAGCGCAAAGGGCGGAGGGCGGAUGCAGCGACGCCGCGUGCGGGAAGACGGCCUUCGGGUAGGAAACCGCUUUCGCGUGUGACGAAGCGUGAGGGACGUAAAUGAGUAGAGAAACACCGGCGAACUACGG
rnacentral:rRNA from 1 species